GCCGCCUUAGCUCAGUGGCUAGAGCGUCCCGCUUGUAACGGGAAGGUCCAGGGUUCAAAUCCCUGAGGCGGCU
rnacentral:tRNA from 1 species